rnacentral:rRNA from 1 species
GAUCCUGGCUCAGAUUGAACGCUGGCGGCAUGCCUUACACAUGCAAGUCGAACGGUAACGCGGGGCAACCUGGCGACGAGUGGCGAACGGGUGAGUAAUAUAUCGGAACGUGCCCAAUAGUGGGGGAUAGCCCGGCGAAAGCCGGAUUAAUACCGCAUACGACCUGAGGGUGAAAGCGGGGGACCGUAAGGCCUCGCGCGAUUAGAGCGGCCGAUAUCUGAUUAGCUUGUUGGUGGGGUAAAAGCCCACCAAGGCGACGAUCAGUAGCUGGUCUGAGAGGACGAUCAGCCACACUGGGACUGAGACACGGCCCAGACUCCUACGGGAGGCAGCAGUGGGAAUUUGGACAAUGGGGGCAACCCUGAUCCAGCAAUGCCGCGUGAGUGAAGAAGGCCUUCGGGUUGUAAAGCUCUUUUGUCAGGGAAGAAACAGCAGCUCUAACACAGUCUGCGAAUGACGGUACCUGAAGAAUAAGCACCGGCUAACUACGUG